GGAUUAGAUACCCUACUAUUAAGAAUGUAAAUAAUUAAAACCCGGGUAGUAAUAGUUAUGGUCUUGAAACUCAAAGAAUUUGGCGGUAUUUUAAUCUACUUAGAGGAAUCUGUCCCGUUAUCGAUAACCCACGUUGGACCUUACUUAAUUAAUUGGUUUGUAUAUCGCCGUUAAUGAAUAUGUUUUUAGGGAAAUUUUCUUAAUACUUAAAUUGGUAAAAUUUCAGGUCAAGGUGCAGCUUAAUAAUUAAGGGGUGAUGGAUUACAAUAUAUGAAUGUAAAUGGAUUAUUAUAUGUAAUGUUAAUAUGAAGGUGGAUUUAAUAGUAAUUUAUUAAAGAUUAUAAUUUUGAAAUAGCUCUAGAAUAUGUACACAUCGCCCGUCACUCUCUUCAGUAAGUGGAGAUAAGUC
rnacentral:rRNA from 1 species